rnacentral:tRNA from 1 species
UCCCUCAUGGCUCAAUAGGUACAGAAUCUGCCUGCAAUGCAGGAGACCCGGGUUUGAUUCCUGGGCUGGGAA